rnacentral:snRNA from 1 species
GUGCGUGAGGGCCGCCUGACAGUGACAUCUCUCACUCUACUGAUGACAAUGGUUGAUUUGAUUGAUCUGACUGGUUAGGCUGGUAUCACUUUCCUGCCUCAUUAUUCCAUGUGCCCUUCACCCAAAGUUGCACACCAGGUGGCAGAGAAUUUACCUAUUCCAUUUUUCUUUUAAUAUGUUUUAUCACUUCAUAUUAUUUCAUUUAUCAUUUUUCAGACAGAAAAAAGUUUCAU